rnacentral:rRNA from 1 species
AUGAUCACAAACACUCUCCAUUCCAUCUCAGAUCAAAAUCAAUAUAGAUUCAACAAUUCGCAAGAGAACACACGCGCAGAAAUGGCGUCCUCCCUCUGCGCCCUCCUCCUCCUCGCCGCCUUCGCGUGCCACUGCCAUGCCGCGGCGGCGGUGUACAGGCGGCCCCGCGCCAUCGGCGUCAACUACGGCAACCUCGGCGACGACCUCCCCACGGCGGCGCGCUCCGUCAAGCUCCUCCGCAAGGCGAACGCGGGCGCCGUCAAGCUCUACAACGCCGACCAGCGCAUCCUGCACGCCCUGGCCGGGACGGGCAUCCCGGUCUCCGUCAUGGUGCCGAACGACAUCGUCCCCUAUCUGGCCGACUCCCGCGCCGCCGCACACAAGUGGGUGGACAACAACCUCAGGCGGCACCCCCGGGUGCGGGUGAGGUACCUGCUCGUCGGCAACGAGUUGCUCUCCUACCCCGCCCUCGCGGCGUCCACGUGGGGCAAGAUCGUGCCGGCGAUGAAGAACCUCCGCCACGCGCUCCACGCGAUCGGUCUCGGCCGCGUCAAGCUCGGGUCCCCGCUCGCCAUGGACGCGCUGGCGGCGUCCUACCCGCCCUCCGCCGGCGCGUUCCGCGAGGACAUCGCCGGCUCCGUCAUGCGGCCGCUGCUCGACUUCCUCAACCACACUCGCUCCUACUACUUCGUCGACGCGUACCCGUACUUCCCUUGGGCGGCCAAUCAGAAGGACAUAUCGCUGGACUACGCGCUCUUCGAGGGCAACGCGAGCAGCCACUACGUCGAUCCGGCCACGCGGCUCACCUACACCAACCUGCUCGACCAAAUGCUCGACGCCUGCAUAGCCGCGAUGGACAAGCUGGGGUACGGCGGCGUGAAGCUGGCCAUCUCGGAGACGGGCUGGCCGAACGCCGGCGACCCGGGCCAGGCCGGCGCCAACGUGCGCAAUGCCGCGCUCUACAACCGCCACCUUGCCCGUCGGAUGCACAAAAAACUCGGCACGCCGGCGCGACCGAGGUCCAAAAUGCCGGCCUUCGUCUUCGCGCUGUACAACGAGGACUUGAAGCCGGGGGCGGGCACUGAGCGGCACUGGGGGAUGUUCUACCCGAACGGUACGUGGGUGUACCAGAUCGACCUCACCGGCAGGCGGACGGCGCGCUCCUACCCGCCGCUGCCACCGCCGGAUGACCAGACCGGCAAGCUCGAGUGGUGCGUCCUGGCCGCCGGCGGCAAGCCGUUGAACGAGACGGCGGUGGCCCUCGCCCUGAAUUACGCCUGCGGGCAAGGGACGGGGACGUGCGCCGCCAUCCAGCCCGGCGGUGCGUGCUACGAGCCCAACACCGUCGACGCGCAUGCAAGCUACGCGAUCAAUGCGUACUGGCAGCAGUUCAAGGCCAAGGGAGGCAGUUGUUACUUCAAUGGCCUUGCAGUGAAGACUAACAAAGAUCCAAGCUAUUUGUCAUGCAAGUUCCCCAGCUAUUAG